CGUCUCAGUUCGGAUUGUAGUCUGCAACUCGACUACAUGAAGCUGGAAUCGCUAGUAAUCGCGGAUCAGAAUGCCGCGGUGAAUACGUUCCCGGGUCUUGUACACACCGCCCGUCACACCACGGGAGUCGGAAAUGCCCGAAGCCAGUGACCCAACUGAAAGGAGGGAGCUGUCGAAGGCAGGUCUGAUAACUGGGGUGAAGUCGUAACAAGGUAAC
rnacentral:rRNA from 1 species